CAGUGUGACAGGAGCAGGUAUCCUGGUGGCAAGGAUGGGGAGCCAGCAGCCUGAGAGAGAGGAGGCAGGCCAGAGAUAAGGAGAUGGUGGGUUGGACUUACCGAGGGCUCUCCCAAAUCUAUGGCUGCCUGUUAGUGUCCUGGGCCGACUCUGGUAGCACUGGGCCAAAUCACCUCUCUCCUUUAGGAAAUUUCAUAGUUUAGGUUUGGGAACACCAGGGGGGCCUGGUAGAGGCCACAACACCAUAUGAGCCUGGCCUGGGGCUACCAGGAAAGACAGGAGCCGUCCUCUACCCAUCACUCCUGACCUACACAUUCACCUACCCUACAAGGAGCAGGUUAGGAGGAACACCGGAGCCCUGGAGAGUCUGGCUCUGUUUCUAUGCUGUUGGACCCCCUUGAGCUCCUGGAGUCCUGUUCCUGCACCUGUUUCCCCAGUGGCAAAGUGAGCAAAUUGGACAAGAUCGAUGGUCUUCAGGAGAGAUGGCUGAGGAGUCUGAGAUGUCUGCAGCAGAUCUGAACGGGCUGUCUGUGACCUACACGGAUGAGGUGGCACUGUUUGGGGACCAGAAACACAGAGAGAGAGGCAGAGACACAGGCAGAGGGAGAAGCAGGCUCUAUGCAGGGAGCCCGACGUGGGAUUCGAUUCCAGGUCCCCAGGAUCAGGCCCUGGGCUGAAGGCGGCGCUAAACCACUGAGCCACCUGGGCUGCCCUGUAUAUCAUUUUUGGAAAAAUGCCUAUUCAAGUUCUUUGUUCAUUUUUUAAUUGGGCUGAUUUUCUUUGUUGUCAGUGUUCUUGGUAUAUUGUAGAUAUUAACUCCUUUUCGGAUAUAUGAUUUGUAAAUAUGUUCUCCAUUCCACAGACUGCCUUUGCACUGUUGAUUAUGUCAUAUUCUGUAUUGAGGGAUUUUGUGAAGAGAUAUGAAACUA